rnacentral:tRNA from 23 species
GCGGAUGUGGCUCAGUUGGUAGAGCAUCACCUUGCCAAGGUGAGGGUCGCGGGUUCGAGUCCCGUCAUCCGCUC